rnacentral:rRNA from 1 species
AUUGAACGCUGGCGGCAGGCCUAACACAUGCAAGUCGAGCGAGCGGCGGACGGGUGAGUAAUGUCUGGGAAACUGCCUGAUGGAGGGGGAUAACUACUGGAAACGGUAGCUAAUACCGCAUACCAUCAGAUGUGCUCAGAUGGUAUUAGCUAGUAGGUGGGGUAAAGGCUCACCUAGGCGACGAUCCCUAGCUGGUCUGAGAGGAUGACCAGCAACACUGGAACUGAGACACGGUCCAGACUCCUACGGGAGGCAGCAGUGGGGAAUAUUGCGCAAUGGGCGAAAGCCGGACGCAGCCAUGCCGCGUGAGUGAAGAAGGUCUUCGGGUUGUAAAGCACUUUCAGCGGGGAGGCGUUACCCAAAGAGGAAGCACCGGCUAACUCCGUGCCAGCAGCCGCGGUAAUUC